rnacentral:rRNA from 1 species
GUGCCAGCAGCUGCGGUAAUACGGAGGGUGCAAGCGUUAAUCGGAAUUACUGGGCGUAAAGCGCACGCAGGCGGUCUGACAAGUCGGAUGUGAAAUCCCCGGGCUCAACCCGGGAACUGCAUUCGAAACUGUCAGGCUGGAGUCUUGUAGAGGGGGUAGAAUUCCAGGUGUAGCGGUGAAUGCGUAGAGAUCUGGAGGAAUACCGGUGGCGAAGGCGGCCCCCUGGACAAAGACUGACGCUCAGGUGCGAAAGCGUGGGGAGCAAACAGGAUUAGAUACCCUGGUAGUCCACGCUGUAACGAUGUCGACUUGGAGGUUGU